CAGCCGCCGCGGUAAUACGUAGGGCGCAAGCGUUAUCCGGAAUUAUUGGGCGUAAAGAGCUCGUAGGCGGUUUGUCGCGUCUGCCGUGAAAGUCCGGGGCUCAACCCCGGAUCUGCGGUGGGUACGGGCAGACUAGAGUGAUGUAGGGGAGACUGGAAUUCCUGGUGUAGCGGUGAAAUGCGCAGAUAUCAGGAGGAACACCGAUGGCGAAGGCAGGUCUCUGGGCAUUAACUGACGCUGAGGAGCGAAAGCAUGGGGAGCGAACAGGAUUAGAGACCCCUGUAGUCCCUGUCUCUUAUAA
rnacentral:rRNA from 1 species